rnacentral:rRNA from 1 species
UACAGAGGUCUCAAGCGUUGUUCGGAUUCAUUGGGCGUAAAGGGCGCGUAGGCGGCCUACUAAGUCAGACGUGAAAUCCCCCGGCUUAACCUGGGAACUGCGUCUGAUACUGGAAGGCUUGAGGAUGGGAGAGGGAUGUAGAAUUCCAGGUGUAGCGGUGAAAUGCGCAGAUAUCAGGAGGAACACCGAUGGCGAAGGCAGCUCGCUGGGACGGUACUGACGCUGAGGCGCGAAAGCGUGGGGAGCAAACAGG